rnacentral:lncRNA from 1 species
AGAGCCGAAAGUCCAAACUUUCGGGGGCAAGGUUCGGGGGCUAAAAGACCUUCCAGAGCCGAAAGUCACCCACCUUCGGCAGCAUGUUCGGCGGCUGAACCUUCCCUCCAGAGAAGAAAGUCUCAACUUUCGGGAGCAAGGUUAGGCGGCCAAAACAGCCUCCUUAAGGGGUUCGGCGGCCGACCCUUGCUUCGGUGGCCGAACCUGAGUUUUGCCCAGAAGGCAGAACUCGGGUCAAACAUGCAUAUUCAGCCUCCCAAAACCUAAAAACACCCAAAAACAAGCAUACCAACUAGCUAUAACAUGCCUAUACCCUUUUCCAUGCAUAAAGGAGCUUAAAACUAGUUCAAACUCCUCCAACAACAUCAUAGCAUCUGGUCAACAUAUACUCAAUCUUCAAGAUCUAUUCUCUAACAUGCCAUAGGCCUCUCUCAAACCUUUUCAACCAUGCUUAAAACAUAAGGGGAGGUGAGGAUCCAUGCUUACCUCUUGAAGAACGAGAGGAUCGAUGGUCCUAACUCGGAGGUGUGGAGAAAAACGAUCCAAAAUCUCCAAAACUCUCAACUUUGCCUUCUUUUGCUCAAAACUUCAAAAACACAAGUUAAAACUCAUUAAAGCUUGCAUAAUUUGAAGAACAUAGUGAAAACAGCCAAAGGAGGCCACAAACUCACCUUUGCACGAAAAGAGGGUGAAAACACACCCCAUUUCUGGUCAAAGGAGCUUUUAUAGGUGGCCAACCGCCUCUCCUUCGGCGGCCAAAGCUGCAUGCGAAACCAUGCAACGUUCGGCGGCUGAACUUCACUUUCGGCGGCCGAACCUGGCGAUUGUUCCCUUGGUCUUUUUCCUUUUCAAAACUCAAUUUUCUUAAUCAAAAGCAUAAAAACAUGUAAAAACAUUUUGAAACACCUCUGUUUUACCCUUAUGGAAGGCUCUGUCAUCCUUGAAUCCCAGCUUCCAAUGGAGAUUCCGCCGGAAAGUAGAAAUUCCGAUGCCGGGUUCUAGCCAGGUAUUAUAUUCUCCCCCCCUUAAGAACAUUCGUCCCCGAAUGUUCCUUGCUAUCACAUGCAUACUAUAAGCCAUAACAUGAACAUAGCAGAGCAUAAAAACAACAAUAAAAAGAACAAAAACUCUAACCUUAAAAGAGGUAGGGGUACUGCUGGAGCAUAGACUCCCGUGUCUCCCAGGUACAUUCUUCGAUAUUAUGGUGGUUCCAAAGGACUUUCACCAUCGGGAUCUCCCUGUUUCUCAACUUUCUGAUCUGAGUGUCUAUGAUCCGCACUGGCUGCUCUAUAUAGGUGAGAUCUCCAAGGAUCUCUACAUCUGGUUCAGUGAGAAUUUUUCCCGGAUCUGACACAAAUUUCCGUAUCAUAGAAACGUGGAAAACCAGAUGGAUUCUUUUCAUAGAGCAGGUAAAUCUAACUUGUACGACACAUUCCCGACCUUCUGCAAAAUCUCGAAGGGUCCGAUGUACCGUGGAGCUAGCUUACCUUUCUUCCCAAAAUGAACCACCCCUUUCAUUGGAGACACCUUAAGCAAUACCAGAUCACCCUCCUAGAACUCUAUAUGCUUUCUGCGGACAUCUGCAUAGCUCUUCUGCCGACUAACAACAGUUCUGAUUCUCUCUCUGAUGAUGGGCACUACUCUGUUGGUAAUCUCUACCAACUCAGGCCCUGCCAAAGACCUCUCUCCGACCUCUUCCCAAAAAAUAGGUGACCUGCACUUCCUCCCAUAAAGAGCUUCAUAUUGAGCCAUCCCUAUGCUAGCAUGAUAGCUGUUAUUGUAGGCAAGCUCCACUAAAGGUAGAUGCUGCCUCCAAGAACCGCCAAAAUCUAGCACACACAUUCUGAGCAUAUCCUCUAUGGUCUGGAAGGUCCUCUCUGACUGUCCGUCAGUCUAUGGAUGGAAAGCAGUGCUAAAGUCCAACCUUGUGCCCAUAGCAUCCUGCAGACUCCGCCAAAAUCUAGAGGUGAACUGGGGUCCCCUAUCAGACACUAUAGAAACGGGAGCCCCAUGCAGUCUGACAACUUCUUCAACAUACACCUGCGCCAACUUGUCCAUAGAGUAGUUACUCCUGACAGGGAUGAAGUGAGCAGAUUUAGUCAGUCGAUCCACAAUCACCCAUAUGGAGUCUAGUCUGUUGAACGCCGCCGGUAACCCCACUACAAAAUCCAUAGCUAUAUUCUCUCAUUUCCACUCUGGAAUCGGCAGUGGGUUAAGCAUUCCAGCCGGCUUCUGAUGUUCUAGCUUCACCAUUUAACAUACCUCGCAGGCUGACACAAACUGUGCCACUUCUCUCUUCAUAGCUGGCCACCAAUACACUCUUUUCAAAUCCUGAUACAUCUUGAUGGCUCCAGGGUGAACACUAUAUCUGGCAUUAUGAGCUUCCCUCAUAAUGUCUCCCUUCAGACUGAUGUCAUCUGGUACACAUAGUCUGGUCCCGUAGCGAAGGAUCCCUUUGUCGUCAAAUCUGAACUCAUCACUCUUGCCUGACUGAAUAGUCCUGGCGAUCUUGAUUAACUCUGGGUCCUCAUGCUGUUUUUGAGCCACCUGCUCCAGAAACACGGGUGUAACUCUCAUCUGAGCUAUCAAAGCACCUGUACCAGAUAACUCUAACUGUAGCCCUUCCUGAACGAGCUUAUAGAACUCCCUCACCACCGGCCUCCUCUCUGCCGUGAUAUAGGACAAACUGCCAAGUGAUUUCCGGCUUAGGGCAUCUGCCACGACAUUUGCCUUACCCGGAUGGUACUGGAUCUUGCAAUCAUAGUCACUCAGCAAUUCUACCCAUCUUCUCUGCCUCAAAUUCAACUCUCUCUGACUCAAGAUGUGAUGUAGGCUCUUAUGAUCUGUGAAGAUCUCACAUUUAACCCCAUAGAGGUAAUGCCUCCACAUUUUGAGUGCAAAUAUUACAGCUGUCAUCUCAAGGUCAUGUGUAGGAUAGUUUAACUCAUGCUUCUUCAGCUGCCUAGAAGCAUAAGCAAUCACUCUGUCCUUCUGCAUCAACACACAACCCAGUCCCACUCGGGACGCAUCACAGAACACUGUGAAGUCUUCAUCACUAGUAGGCAGAGCUAACACCAGUGCUGAAGUCAACCUUUUCUUAAGCUCUUCGAAACUCUCUUCACACUGGUCAGACCAUGUAAACCUCUGGUUUUUCUUGGUUAAUCUGGUCAUAGGAGUCGCAAUCUUUGAGAAGUCCUGUACGAACCUCCUAUAGUAGCUUGCCAAACCCAAAAAACUCUUAAUCUCUGUCACUGUGGUGGGUCUAGGCCAGUUAGCUACAACCUCUAUCUUCUUGGGGUCCACUGCUAUGCCUUGGUCUGACACAACAUGCCCCAAGAAAGAAAUGCUCCUCAGCCAGAACUCACACUUGGAGAACUUGGCAUACAAGCCAUGCUCUCUCAAGGUCUGUAGGACGAUCCUCAGAUGAUGGGCAUGUUCCUUUGCAUUUCUGGAAUAUACCAAAAUAUCAUCUAUAAAGACAAUAACAAAGUGAUCCAAAUACUGUCUGAACACUCUGUUCAUGAGAUCCAUGAAUGCUGCAGGGGCAUUAGUUAACCCGAACGGCAUCACAAGGAACUCAUAAUGCCCAUAUCUGGUCCUGAAAGCUGUCUUUGGCACAUCCUCUUCCCUGAUUCUUAGCUGGUGAUAACCUGAUCUCAGAUCUAUUUUAGAAAAACAACCUACUCCUGCUAGCUGGUCAAAUAGAUCAUCGAUCCUGGGUAGAGGAUACUUAUUCUUGGUAGUGACUUUGUUCAAUUGCCUAUAGUCGAUACAAAGUCUGAGGGAUCCAUCCUUCUUUCUCACAAACAGCACUGGAGCACCCCAAGGUGAGGUACUUAGUCGGAUGAAACCCUUAUUUACCAACUCUUGCAACUGUUCUUUUAACUCUUUUACUUUGCUGGUGCCAUCCUGUAAGGAGGGAUAGAGAUCGAUCUGGUACCAGGCAACAACUCUAUCUCGAACUCUAUCUCCCUAUCAGGUGGUAGUCCUGGAAGCUCGUCUGGGAAAACAUCGGGAAAUUCUCUGACGACGGGCACUGAGGCGGGUUCCUUAACCUGACUGUCAAGCUCUCUAACAUGAGCUAGAAACCCCUGACACCCUCUCUUUAGCAACCUACGAGCCUGUAGGGCUGAUAUUAAACCUCUAGGCGUGCCCCUCCUGUCUCCUCUGAAGACAAACUCAGAUCCAUCCUGAUCUCUGAACCUGACUACCUUGUCUCUACAGUCCAAGGUAGCACCAUAUGCAGAUAGCCAAUCCAUCCCUAGAAUGACAUCAAAAUCCGUCAACUCUAGAACCACAAGGUCGGCUGGAAGGCAUCUACCAUCUAUAAACACUGGACUAUGACAGCAGACUGACUCUGUCACUGAUGGAUCACACUUGGGUCCACUGACCUAAAGGGGACACUCUAACCCAGAAGUCAUCAAACCCACUCUCUCUAUGGCUCUCGGAGCAACAAAUGAAUGAGAAGCACCGGGGUCCAAUAAAGCAUACACAUCAGAACAACCAAUGAUGAGAUUACCUGACACCACUGUGUUAGAUGUGUUCGCCUCCUGCUGUGUCAUAGUGAAGAUCCGAGCUGGAGCUGACGGACCUUCACCUCGGAAACCUGCUGAAGAAGAGGCUGCCCCUCUCCCUCUGCCUCUGCCCUGAGUCGUGGCUGGAGCUGAUGACUGUGGCAUACUGCCUAGAGCUGUCUGCUGGGACGGUGCCGUGAAAGCUGCUCUUGGACACUCACGAGCCAUGUGUCCCUCUUGGCCGCACCUGAAACAUGUUGUAGUUCCAAACCGACAAACUCCCCUAUGCAGCUUACCGCACUUCACACACACUGGAACCUCUGAGCCUGAGCUCGAGCCACUCCUUAAACCCAGACCUGCCUUUAGCUUAUUCCAGAACUUGUUCUUCUUUGGAUUCUUAGUGGAACCACUCCACUUUUUACUGCCUGAGGCCGCUGCACUCUGAGAAGAGGGAUCUGCCGUUCCCCUACCUGGGGUCUUAGCACCAGAGGACUGUGCCACCUGCUGUUUAACUGACCCCUGUAUAAUGGCACUGGCCUCCAUCUUUCGUGCGAUAUCCACCACUGUGUUGAAACUCUCCCUCUCUGCUGCUAGGAUCAAGGAGGAAUACCUAGGAUGAAGCCUCAUAGUAUACCUCCUAGCCUUUUUCUGAUCUGUAUCAUAGGCCUGACCCACAUACUGCAGCAACUCCAUGAACUUGUCAGUGUACUCAUCAACACUCAUGUCCUCUGUUUGCCUCAGCUGCUCAAACUCUACCAUCUUCAGCUCUCUUGAACUAUCUGGGAACGCCCAUCCAGCAAACUCAUUUGCAAACUCCCCCCAGGACAUGUUAUCCAGUCUGGGGUCCACAUAGUUAUUAAACCACUCCUUUGCUUUCUUGCAUUUGAGAGUGAACCCCGCCAUCUAAAUGGCUCUAGUAUCACUUGCCCCCAGCUCAUCUACUAUCAUUUUCACCGCUUUGAGACACUCAAAUGGAUCAUCUUGUGGUUUGUACUUAGGAGCAUCCAGUUUCAGGUAAUCAGUCAUCUUUACCUUGCUCCUCUCAGAUGGGCCAGGUUGAGGUGUUUGGAUAACAGGGGCUACUGGUUCUGCUGGUGGUGGAGGAGGUGCAGAACUUUCGGGAGUAGGGUAUGCUGGACUUGGGUAGAAGGGUGAGGGUGGAUACAUGGGGUACUGUGGAUAUGGUGGGUGAAAAGGUGGAUAAGGCAUAAAGGUGGGAUAUGGGUGAAAACUAGGAUAAUCCGAUGUACCCCCCAUCGAAUAUCCUGGGCCCUGUGGGAAGGGCUGAUACUGGGGUGGAUAGCCAAACCCCGAGGCCUGAGGGCCUCCCUGUGAUGAUCCCAUACCCACCUCAGAUGUGCCAACACCUAACCCUCCAUCUCUUCUCUGAUCCACAUCCAUAGCUUCCCUCACAUCUUCAGAUCCUCCACCCUGCUCUGAUUCCCUUCUACUUUCAUCAAAAGACCUUCUAGGGUCCCUUGAUGCUCUUUCUCUGCCUAUUCUCUGAGACAUUGCCCUUGGCAAAGCAGGAGGACGAGCAUCCAUGCCCUCAUUCUCUGGUGGAGCUCCAGUCAAUCUAGCAGAUCGAUGAGUCCCUCUCAUUUUAGCUUCUGAAAACAUAACAUAAACACAUAAACAUUAGCAUCAUAUGGUCCAUGUGGAAACACAUGAACCCUCAUCAUACAUAGCAUAUCCUUAAAUGCACAUGCAUAAAAUCAUGGCAUUACACGUCAUCAUCAAGACAGGACUCUACAUCCUAUCCUAGUGGACAUAAUCUUUCCUAUUGUGCUUGCCCUUCUAUAACCUCUAUGAGCCCGACACUCUCUAGGUCCGAUUAUAUGAACUUAGGGCUCUGAUACCAAUCUGUAACGACCUGGAAACUGGACCGCUACCGGCGCUAGGAUUCAGAUCGACUUAAGGUCGCCGGAACCCGUAGCAAGCCUACUAUGAACUCUGUGUACCUGAUAAAUCCCAUACAUGAUCAUACAUGUCCAUAAAAAUUUUGAAUUUUAUCCUUACCCAGCUUGACCUGUGCAUGCACUAAGCUCUAAACAUCAAACCCCAUAUACAUUACAUGACUUUACAUUAUCUCUUUAUACAUUACAUGUCCACUACUCUAUAUUAUUACACUUAGACUUUACCCUUGCUGAUCCUCCACCUUCUCUAUGGCCUUGAAAACAUGGGGUUAGGGAGAGGGGUGAGCUACUCGAGCCCAGUGAGCAGAACAAUAACACAUUUAAAAACAUGCUCUCAUGAAAUGCGUCACAUCACAAAUGAAUCACAUCACGGACGGACUGACCCAAAAAUCCCUCUGCUCUGUGUCCGGCCCUCAAAGGAGCUCCUCAGGACUUCUGUUACAUGCAUAUAAACUCUGUGCCCGGCCCUCAAGGGGCUCCUCAGGACUUCUGUUACAUAAACAUAAACAUCAGAGGGCUAAAGGGUCCUACUCUGUGUCCGUCCCCAUCAACAAGUAAUAAUGCAAUGCGUCAUCUUCGUGAACACUAAGGCAAUGCAAUACACCCUAACAUAACAUGGCAUUUAUGAUGCAUGAAUCAUGCUAAAAGCUUUCAUUAAUUGAAAAACAUAGUUCAGUUCCACUCACCUCUGUCAACUGCUGAACAGUCUCUGUAACUCUAACUCUGUGGGCCUCCUUGGUUCCUCGGGUCCGCACCUACACAGGUGGACUCAAAUGAGGACCAAACAUACUCUAACAUAGCUAUAAACAUCUCCCCAAAAACCCCCUAAAACAUCGUAAACAUGCAUGGAAAAAUGGGCAAAUGAAGGCUGGACAGGGCACUUUCGACGGCACGUUCGGCGGCCGAAAGAUGCACUUUCGGCGGCACCUUCGGCGGCCGAAAGUCCCCUCCAGAGCCGAAAGUCCAAACUUUCGGGAGCAAGGUUCGGGGGCUGAAAGACCUUUCAGAGCCGAAAGUCUCAACUUUCGGGGGCAAGGUUAGGCGGCCAAAAUAGCCUCCUUAAGGGGUUCGGCGGCCGAACCUUGCUCGGCGGCAGAACCUGAGUUUUGCCCAGAAGGCAAAACUCGAGUCAAACAUGCAUAUUCAGCCUCCCAAAACCUAAAAACACCCAAAAACAAGCAUACCAACUAGUUAUAACAUGCCUAUACCCUUUUCCAUGCAUAAAGGAGCUUAAAACUAGUUCAAACUCCAACAACAUCAUAACAUCUGGUCAACAUAUACUCAAUCUUCAAGAUCUAUUCUCUAACAUGCCAUAGACCUCUCUCAAACCUUUUCAACCAUGCUUAAAACAUAAGGGGAGGUGAGGAUCCAUGCUUACCUCUUAAAGAACGAGAGGAUCGAUGGUCCUAACUCGGAGGUGUGGAGAAAAACGAUCCAAAAUCUCCAAAACUCUCAACUUUGCCUUCUUUUGCUCAAAACUUCAAAAACACAAGUUAAAACUCAUUAAAGCUUGCAUAAUUUGAAGAACAUAGUGAAAACAGCCAAAGGAGGCCACAAACUCACCUUUGCACGAAAAGAGGGUGAAAACACACCCCAUUUGAGGUCAAAGGAGCUUUUAUAGGUGGCCAACCGCCUCUCCUUCGGCGGCCAAAGCUGCAUGCGAAACCAUGCAACGUUCGGCGGCCGAACUUCACUUUCGGCGGCCGAACCUGGCGAUUGUUCCCUUGGUCUUUUUCCUUUUCAAAACUCAAUUUUCUUAAUCAAAAGCAUAAAAACAUAUAAAAACAUUUUUAAACACCUCUGUUUUACCCUUAUGAAAGGCUCCGUCAUCCUUGAAUCCCAGCUUCCAACGGAGAUUCCGCCGGAAAGUAGAAAUUCCGAUGCCGGAGUCUAGCCGGGUAUUACAGUGGGUACAUGACUUCCCUGAUAAAGCCUGCCUCUUCUAACUUCCGUACCUCCUCCCUGGUGGCCUGUUGCUUCUCCCUUCCUACCACCCUUUUAUUCUGCUUCACUGGUCUAGCUUCGAGGAGGACAUUCAGCUUGUGCGUCAUCACCUCGGGGUCAAUCCCGGGCAUGUCAGAAGGCUUCCAGGCGAAGCUUGACGCGUGACCUCGGAUCAGGGCCGUGACUUCAGUUUUUUGCUCCUCAGUCAGGCCGGCGUUAAGACUGAAGACUUUAUCCGUCUCGAUUUCUGAUAGAGGAAAAGUUUCCAACUCUCCGGCUGGCUCUGUUCUGGCCUCUUUUUUCUCGUCCCUAACCUCCUGGACUUCUGAGUCAAGCCUUUCUGCUGCCAAGCUCGGCUCUGAUACAGUGGCCAGAUACACUGCUCUCGCCUCUUCUUGACUUCCUCUGACUACGCCCACUCCUGCCUCUGUUGGGAACUUCAUGGCCAGAUAUCUGAUGCUGGUUACGGCCUCAAAGUCAAACAGCGCAGGUCUCCCCAGGAUUGCGUUGUAGCUCAAUGGGAGCUUGACCACUAAGAACACCACAUAGUGAGUGCGAGUCCUUGGUGCCUCUCCUAAAGUGAGAGCCAGCUUUACUUUCCCCUCCACCGGCACCGGGAUUCCUCCGAUCCCUUUCACUGGGGCUUGGUCUCGGACUAGUUGCUCCUCGGGAAUUCCCAUCUGUUGGAAGACUCUGUAGGGUAGCAGGUUCACCUUGCUUCCAUCAUCCACUAAGAUCUUCUUCACCCGGAAGUUGUGAAUGAUGGCUUGAAUGACAAGGGCGUCGUCAUGAGGCAUCUGAAUACCCUGAGCAUCCUCCGGAGAGAAAGUGAUGGCCAACGGAGAGUGCUCGACGACCUGCAUGACCUCAGCAUUGCUGCUUUCCCCCUCUCGACUCCUCUUCUUCCCCCUUCGGCUCAUCUGACCUCCUGUGCCUCCAACAAUCAUGUUGAUGGUCCUACUAGACCCAUCAUUCACCGGUCCGCCUCCCGUUCUCUUCGGUGCUUGGGCUGCCGGGUUAGGUUGAGGCCUCUGUCCCUCCGACUUUUUCAUGAAGUUUCUGAGGUGUCCCCUUUUUAUUAG